UUUUCAAACAAAAUACAAAAUAUUGGAAAAAGCCACACAAUCACUUGGUCAAAUUUCCUCAGAAAUACUGAUAUUUGUUUAAUCAGAAAUGCAUUAUAAAUGUCAAUACACAUUAUCUUUAUUUGCCAACUGACACAUAAUUAUCUUGGCCCAUAAAUCCAACAGAUAUGAAGCCAUACUAUUUGAGUGCCUUAAAGGUGAUAUGAACAAUCACACAGCAGCCAGCAACUAUUUUCUAUGUAAAUAUUUAGUGCUUUAACAGUGCCCCGUUCAGAGAAUGAAGCAACACUCCCCUUGUGCUGCUCAGCUUUUCUGUACAUUUACAUUCUCUGAUGUCUGCGAGUACUGUCUUAAAAUGAAUGCUCCUCCCCAAAAUGAUAAAUGUAUUAAAGGAUUAUUUAACUGAGUAAGUGAGGUUAAUAAUUCAUUGAUUAUAUGUCUGUUCGGAGCUGUGUUUUCAUAUUGCUGGUCUUCAUUUUGCAUGUCCACUUCGAGCUCAUUUUCUGUUAAUUCCUUCAAUUCAAACUUGUCCGUAUAAUAAAAUCCACUCAGAAAAUGGAAAAUGUCGUUCGCUUUUUGUUUUAUUUUGCGCAAUGAAAACUGUAAACAAACUCGGAAAUCUAAUACGUGAUCUGGACCGAUUGUCAUGGUAACUGUCUGAUAUGACCGGAAAUCAGCCAAUCAGAGAGCAAGUACUGUUACAGCCACGUAAUAAUACUCAAUACUCACCAGUCACCACAUAACUGUUAAUCUCCCCUCCAAACCAAGAGUCCUGAUGGCAGCAACUUUAUAGAAAUGUGCCCCCCUCCCCCCCAAAAAGAGAAAAUUCACAUCUACAGGCUAAAAAUGCCUCUGAGCAAGAAUGGGAUUGUACUAGAAUGUAUAUUUGGGUUUUCCCAGUUAGACCUGAUAAAAGCCUCCAACUACUGAACAUUCUGUUCAAUGCGGGGAGGGGGGUCGUGAGGAGGAGUGACCAAGGACAGAAGCUUUGUUUACACUGAGAUACCUGGUCCAAGCACAAUACCUAAUGGCAGAAAAGUCAUUCAUAGCACCUUUAAGUGACAUGGGGAUCUUUUUUAUUCAACAGUAUAAUCUGUAGGAAAUCGAAGUUCACGAAUGAAAGAUUUGUAAAAUUAUGU